AGAAGAUGCUAGGCCAGGGGUGUCGAACGUACAGCCCGCAGUGCCUGAUUCGGCCCGCGAAUAGGUUUUAUCCGGCCUGCGGGUGGAAAAAAAGAAAGUCCAGUGCACAUCAGAUGUCUUGCACCUGGCAUAGAUUACUUUCCCUUUUAUAGACCUGUAAGCAUCCGACGGUUGAGGGCUGCCCGUAGGAGGAGGCAAUAGAGUCUGCAGCUGCAGGAAGAACGACGCAAACUCUCCGCUCAUGUCUACGGGCUAUUCAACUACGUAAUGAAGAGGACCGCAGUUUCAAGAACCCAAGGGCUCAGAGGCCGGACAUUGAAAUGUGAAUGCUUCCGCAGGUUGUAUUUCUUUAAGACUGCGUUUACUUAAUUACAAAGUAAACACAUCUGCUUUCACA